rnacentral:pre_miRNA from 1 species
GAUAUACUCCCUCCGUUCGGAAUUACUUGUCUCAAAAAUGGAUGUAUUUAGAACUAAAAUACAUCUAGAUACAUCCAUUUUUGAGACAAGUAAUUUCGAACGGAGGGAGUAUUAU